GAACAUGAUAUUUUCACUGGCGGUGAGGAAAAGAGAGAGAUCAGAGCAAAACAGCUAGUGAAGAUAAUCAGAAGAUAUACCUGCCAUUUUUCUUUUGGGCACAGGAGAGGGUAGUGGUUUAUUCUGCAAAGAAAUGAAUCCACAACCAUUUUUUUUUUUAUUCAUGGUAAACAUGAAAAAUAGUUAAAGCCUAGCAAUGUGAAAAAAUAAAUAAAUAAAGCCUAGCAAUGUGUGGCCAACAGAUCAUACAUAUUGCAAAGGCAAAUGUAAUAAUAAAGGAAGUAGAAUUCUAUAAAAAUUAAAUAAUGAAAAUGGUAUUCCAGAAAGCCAUUAGCGAGGAACUAUGAUGCUAGGAACAGUAGCACUUUCAAUGUAAGCAAAGACCUUUGCUUUUAAAAUCCUUAAUGAAGAUAAGUCCAAAAAACAGUACUAAAAGCUAUGGGAAAGUCUUGAAAAUCAAACUGUCAAAAAAAUAAAACAAGCCACAAAAAACCCCACAAAUCCAGGCUGCGUCAAUGUUCAUAAUGGACCCUGAGGUCAACACCACAUGUGUUCAUUAAAUGGUUGCGAACCAUCACUAAGUGGAUAUAUACAGUCCAUUUUGUGUGUUUAUUCUGGUGUACAGGGUUUUUUUUUUUUUUUUCUUGUUUAAAUGAAAAGCCUAUUGCCAGCACUAAAGAAUUUCAAAAUGUUAGAUUCUGGCUUAAAACUACAGCCAGUGGAGAAUUCCCAUGGAGCGCCCAAUCUCUCCUGCCCCGGACUUUUCUCGUCCCUGUGUGCCUUUCUCCUCCUGCUCUCCUGUCUCUUCUCCCCAUCUCCUCCUGGACCCCCAGCACCGUGACUGCCAAGAAUGCAAAUGAGGAAACUGGAGAAAAGUGAUAUUAAGAAAUUGGCCUAAGAUCACACAGCUGAUAAGUGACAGAGGAGUUCCCUGGAAAGACCUCCACGCCCCCGCCCUCAUAUGCUUCUCUGUCUGUUCCAUUCCCAAACCCACCGUCUGAGAAUACCAACACAAGUUACAAGAGACUGGGACAGAAAUCCUCACGCUUGUCCAAAAAAUAAUGUGCAGAAAUAAAUAUAUGUAUCAUAUUUCAUAUAAGGUGAAAAUUACUAAGGAUAAAGGAGAGUCACCAAGAGCUUUCAUCCUGUCAGGCUUCCAGAAUAAUUUGGAAUCUCUGACUCAAAGCUGGGGUUCUUACAAGAAAGUCAGCAUUAAUUACAAUUCAUAAGAUCUGAAGAACACUUCACUUUGAGAGUGGGGGAAACAAGUGCCUCCUGCUAACUUGUCCAAGGUCAUAUGGAGGCCUCAGUCUGCAUGUUAUCUGCUUUAAAGUGAAACUGACUUACCAGUUUCUGGAAAAACUGACAAAUGGAAAGUAACUGCACAGUAUCCAUUAUGUAUUCAUUAUUAUUCACUUAAGAUGUAUAAAAUUUCAUUGGUGUUGUGUUUAAUGUGUUGACUAAAGUGUGUGUAUUUUAGUGGAAGAAAGUUCUAAGUGCUUUCAUUGGUAUAUCCAUACCUCAGUACCUCUCUAAUUUUCAUAUUAGAUUUUAAGCUCCUGCAGCACAAAAGCCCUCAUGACUGAAGAAGGAAUGUACAGUUACAAAGAUAAAAAUGCCUCACCUCUAGAAGUAGCUUCCCUUAAUGGGUAAAGUAAGUCAUGAGUUUCAUAAAAAUUUCCCCGAGCAGAAAGUAUGGUGAUAUGUCAGCUAUUCCCAAUGACUGAUCAGAAAGAGAUGUUGAAGGAAUUUAGAUUCUAAAGAGUUUGUGUUAUGACCAAAGACAAAGGGGCUUAGAUGGAAAGACUCAGAAUGACGUGUAAUCUCUGACUUUGUCAGUGGUAUGUGUGCAGAAAACAAGUCUAUCUGGGUACUUAAGGAAAAUGGGCUUUUCACUGGCAAGUUUGCCUUUGGGAAAAAGAAUAACUAGAUAUUUGGAGCAAUCAGGUACUAUGGAGCAAUCAUGGAGAUCUUCAAAAUUAUGAUCUAGGUAGACAAAACUCCACUUUGGAAAUUAUCAGGUAUAUCCAUUUUGAUCACUAUCUUCAC